rnacentral:lncRNA from 1 species
GGAGCAGUCACCAGUGCCCCAACUGACGAAGGAGCAGUCACCAGUGCCCCAACUGACGAAGGAGCAGUCAACAGUGCCCCAACUGACGAAGGAGCAGUCACCAGUGCCCCAACUGACGAAGGUGCAGUCACCAGUGCCUCUAACUGACGAAGGUGCAGUCACCAGUGUCCCAAACAGACGAAGGAGCAGUGCAACCAGU